CCUACGGGAGGCAGCAGUGGGGAAUUUUGGACAAUGGGCGCAAGCCUGAUCCAGCAAUGCCGCGUGAGUGAAGAAGGCCUUCGGGUUGUAAAGCUCUUUUGUCAGGGAAGAAACGGUCUGUUCUAAUACAGCGGGCUAAUGACGGUACCUGAAGAAUAAGCACCGGCUAACUACGUGCCAGCAGCCGCGGUAAUACGUAGGGUGCAAGCGUUAAUCGGAAUUACUGGGCGUAAAGCGUGCGCAGGCGGUUUUGUAAGUUUGUCGUGAAAUCCCCGGGCUCAACCUGGGAAUGGCGAUGAAGACUGCAAGGCUAGAGUUUGGCAGAGGGGGGUAGAAUUCCACGUGUAGCAGUGAAAUGCGUAGAUAUGUGGAGGAACACCGAUGGCGAAGGCAGCCCCCUGGGUCAAAACUGACGCUCAUGCACGAAAGCGUGGGGAGCAAACAGGAUUAGAUACCCUGGUAGUCCACGCCCUAAACGAUGUCUACUAGUUGUCGGGUCUAAUUGACUUGGUAACGCAGCUACGCGUGAGUAGACCGCCGUGGGAGGUACGGUCGCGAAGAGUAAACGUUACAAUAGUUAAGUUAGUAGGCGNGAGAGNGCGACGGACGACGACGAGGGAGGAGG
rnacentral:rRNA from 1 species